GUGAAACUCCGUCUCAAAAAAAAAAAAAAAAAAAUAAUAUAAGAAAAAAAAAAAAAAGAAAAAAUAUUUUGAGUUGUCCCAGCUAUUUCUACCUCUAAUUCUAUUUACCUUAUGACAACUGACAAUUGUGGUUAUCUGAGAAGCAGUUUGAAUUCAGUUA